GCGGGAGCGCGGAGGGGGCGGGGCCGGGCCUGGGCCUCCGGGGACAGCGCCCCCUGUGGUGGGCGCGGGGCGGCCUCCCUCGGAGCGGGGCCGCGACCGAGGACGCCCGAUUCGUGGACCUCGCAGAAAUUGAGGCUGGACGUCCAAGCGGUGAAGGAGCAAGAGGACAUCCUAGGGCUGGUGGUAGGAAAAGGCUGAUGGAAGAGAUUCCCAAGUGCUGGAGCAAGUGGAGGGGACUAUGCAGAGGGGUUACUAAUGCAAGGCUGUUAAAUACGACUUUUAGAAGUAGAGGGAUGCUUGUUGCUGGGAUGGGAUGUCUGCAGCAGGAGGAACAGGUGAUUUUUAGCAAGCUGUUCAGGUUGACUGCCUUAAAAUGGUUUCUAGGAACCCUGACUCUCAUUCCCAAGAGGCAGAGGACACCAGAUGGUAAGCCCUAGCCCAGUUCUAAGACCGUGACUGCUACGUGGACAGUACUCUGAGGCUGUCACCCAUUGGACUGUUCUUCCUAAAGAUGGGUUCCUGGAUUUGAGGGAGCUCUGAGCACAUUGGUCACUUCCCAUGUUAGAGGACAUGUGGGUCUCGUUACCACAAUUUCAUAGGGAAAAAAGAUUGCUUUGCGGACCUUGAAAUUCCACAGUAGGGGUAGUAGGACUUCUUUCCCUUCUUUCCUUGUUCCAUUAGAACACCUUUUUUUUUUUUUUUUCCCCCUGGGUUAAUUCACUUUUACUUCUGGAAGAAAACAGGAAGGUCCAGAGGGUGGUGGAUCUUCAAACGUUGUGGCAGUGGACGGAGGACCCAAGAACCCUGUGAAAUCCGGGCUGGCGAAGGAUCCUGUGUCUGCAGCAUGCAAGUAGGAUCCCCAGCCCCCCACCCCCAGCCUUCCUUGACCAAAGGGGUCCAGCGCUCCUGCUUCGGAUCUGAAGAUUUUCCAGGCAGAUGAGGUUUACCUCUUGGUUAGGCAAAUGACAAGCAGUCUCACCUUGCGGAUCAAGGAAUGGGCCACAAGAUAAACGGAGACAAACCAGACAGAGGGGACCAGAGAGCCAGUGGACAAUACAGGAGAUAACUUUAUUGAAACGCAAAUGGCAUCGAACAGAUGAAUCUUGCCGGGAGGAGACAUGCCUGAUGGAACAGAGGGCCCAGAUAAGAGGGGCCUCUGGCAGUGAUGGAGGAAGGCCUCUUCAGCUGGCCUGCCAUGGACUUCAUUGUCAACCAAUUUUUGCUUAAAACGAAUUACUGAGGGGACAACUCAACUCUCUUCAUGAUUGUUACCGCAACUAUAUACAAUGGUUUGCUUUCCAGAUUCAAAUUUGCUUUCUCUACAUUAGAUAUAAAAGGGGGUAGAUUGAAAGAGGGGGAGGGUCCAAUGAGGGAAAAAAAAAAAAACACAGACACACACAUAUCCUGGUUUGGGGCUUUAUGUCCAAUAAAUUAAAAAAGAAAAA